rnacentral:rRNA from 1 species
AUUGAACGCUGGCGGCAGGCCUAACACAUGCAAGUCGAACGAGUGGCGGACGGGUGAGUAAUGUAUGGGAAACUGGCUGAUGGAGGGGGAUAACUACUGGAAACGGUAGCUAAUACCGCAUACCAUCGGAUGUGCCCAGAUGGGAUUAGGUAGUAGGUGGGGUAAAGGCUCACCUAGGCGACGAUCCCUAGCUGGUCUGAGAGGAUGACCAGCCACACUGGAACUGAGACACGGCCCAGACUCCUACGGGAGGCAGCAGUGGGGAAUAUUGCGCAAUGGGCGCAAGCCUGAUGCAGCCAUGCCGCGUGAAUGAAGAAGGCCUUCGGGUUGUAAAGUACUUUGAGCGGGGAGGCGUUACCUACAGAAGAAGCAACGGCUAACUCCGUGCCAGCAGCCGCGGUAAUUC